CGUACUUGUUCAGAUGUCGUAAGUCUCGACGCGUGAUCAGGGGGAAUUGCCAUCCAAUUUUUUGCACACAUUCAUGGACCAUGGAGAUUCACGGAGAGGAUCACUCCUAAUAACUUUGAUGAUCCCCUGACCUUUCCUCAGCGCCAUAAAUAUGUCAAAAUUUCCACUUACCCUGCAACAUAUCUCAACAUCUACAAGAUGACCGCCAUGAGGUUGAUACUUAUGGAUUUGAGUGAAAUGUCUCAACAACUUUUGAAUGGUGACAGUCGAGCUUUAACUAAAAGUGCAUCAACAGAAAAUGAAUUGCUAUUGUGAUAAUGUAUUCAUUGUUUUGUAAUGUUUCCAGCAAAUAUGCAAAACUCUUGCUUCCAAAGUGUGUACUUUCUGCUUUUCACUAUUUUAUUUAGUUGUAUUUGAAUCGACACAUUGGAUUCUGGGAAACUGAUGCAUGUUUUUUCCCAAUUUUUGGUCAUUUUAUGGACAAAAGUGAUUGAGAAAAUAAACAUUGGUUGCAACCCUAGAGGGGAACGCAAAGAAUCCUAA